rnacentral:rRNA from 1 species
GUGCCAGCCGCCGCGGUAAUACGUAGGGCGCAAGCGUUGUCCGGAAUUAUUGGGCGUAAAGAGCUCGUAGGCGGUUUGUCGCGUCUGCUGUGAAAACGCAAGGCUUAACCUUGCGCCUGCAGUGGGUACGGGCAGACUAGAGUGCGGUAGGGGAGACUGGAAUUCCUGAUGUAGCGGUGGAAUGCGCAGAUAUCAGGAGGACACCGAUGGCGAAGGCAGGUCUCUGGGCCGUUACUGACGCUGAGGAGCGAAAGCAUGGGA